rnacentral:rRNA from 1 species
GAUGAACGCUGGCGGCGUGCUUAACACAUGCAAGUCGAACGAGGAAGCCCAGCUUGCAGGGUGGAUUAGUGGCGAACGGGUGAGUAACACGUGAGUAACCUGCCCUUAACUCUGGGAUAAGCCUUGGCAACUGGGUCUAAUACCGGAUAGGAGCGACCACCGCAUGGUGGGUGGUGGAAAGAUUUAUCGGGUUUGGAUGGAGUCGCGGCCUAUCGGCUUGUUGGUGAGGUAAUGGCUCACCAAGGCGACGACGGGUAGCCGGCCUGAGAGGGUGACCGGCCACACUGGGACUGAGACGCGGCCCAGCCUCCUCCGGGAGGCAGCAGUGCGGAAUAUUGCACUAUGGGCGCAACCCUGAUGCAGCGCCGCCGCGUGGGGUAUGACGGCCUUCGGGUUGUAAUCUACUUUCGUCAGGGACGAAGCGAAAGUGACGGUACCUGGAUAAGAAGCACCGGCUAACUACGUG